rnacentral:rRNA from 1 species
AGUUGACGUUCGGGUUCCGCGGGACGGGGCCGCCCCGCGAGGGACGGCGCCGCCCCGGGGCUCGUGAUAUCUCAUCUUCGCCGCCCGUCGCGAGGCGGACGGAGGGAUGGAUGAGGUUACCUGGAAAAAAUCGGGGCGAUCUAGGCGGGCGAACCUCGCCAACGAACGAUCGGACAUGGGAUAACGGAAGAGGGCGUCGGCUCGACUUCGUCGGUUCCUCGGGCCGAGGCACGUACGGUGAAUAGGGACGGUCGGGGCCGCCCGUACCGGGUCGUGAGAGGUGAAAUUCUA